CGCUUCCUGUGUUGGCCUUCCCCAUCAAUCCCCUAACCCGUGUCGGGCCCAUUUCCUUUGGUGCAAUGUUCCACAGACCCAACCUCUGCCGUUCUGUGACCACACUUGCCACCACGUGCGGCCGCAGGGGAACUCCGUUCCAAGGACAAUGGGGCGACCGCUCACGUCUAGGUUCGAUCCGGUACUCGGCUUCCUUAUCCCAUAAUAAGUAUGAGGUUAGUACUUU
rnacentral:lncRNA from 1 species